UACGUAGGGAGCAAGCGUUGUCCGGAAUCAUUGGGCGUAAAGCGCGCGUAGGCGGCCCCGUAAGUCCGCUGUGAAAGUCAAAGGCUCAACCUUUGAAAGCCGGUGGAUACUGUGGGCUAGAGUACGGAAGAGGCGAGUGGAAUUCCUGGUGUAGCGGUGGAAUGCGCAGAUAUCAGGAGGAACACCAAUAGCGAAGGCAGCUCGCUGGACGUUACUGACGCUGAGGCGCGAAGCGUGGGAGCGAACAGG
rnacentral:rRNA from 1 species